rnacentral:rRNA from 1 species
CUACGGGUUGCAGCAGUGGGGAAUAUUGGACAAUGGGGGAAACCCUGAUCCAGCCAUGCCGCGUGUGUGAAGAAGGCCUUCGGGUUGUAAAGCACUUUCAGUAGGGAGGAAGCGUUGUGUGUUAAUAGUACACAGCGUUGACGUUACCUACAGAAGAAGCACCGGCUAACUCUGUGCCAGCAGCCGCGGUAAUACAGAGGGUGCAAGCGUUAAUCGGAAUUACUGGGCGUAAAGCGCACGUAGGCGGUUUUUUAAGUCAGAUGUGAAAGCCCCGGGCUCAACCUGGGAAUUGCAUUUGAAACUGGAAAACUAGAGUGUGUGAGAGGGGGGUAGAAUUCCAAGUGUAGCGGUGAAAUGCGUAGAGAUUUGGAGGAAUACCAGUGGCGAAGGCGGCCCCCUGGCACAACACUGACGCUCAGGUGCGAAAGCGUGGGGAGCAAACAGGAUUAGAUACCCUCGUAGUC